rnacentral:rRNA from 1 species
UACGUAGGGGGCUAGCGUUGUCCGGAAUCAUUGGGCGUAAAGCGCGCGUAGGCGGUCAGGUAAGUCCGGUGUGAAAGUCAAAGGCUCAACCUUUGAAUGCCGCUGGAUACUGCCUGACUUGAGUCCGGAAGGGGCGAGUGGAACUCCUGGUGUAGCGGUGGAAUGCGCAGAUAUCAGGAAGAACACCAACGGCGAAGGCAGCUCGCUAGGACGGAACUGACGCUGAGGCGCGAAAGCGUGGGGAGCGAACAGG